AGUGGCGGACGGGUGAGUAACGCGUGAGAAUCUGCCUUGGGGUCGGGGACAACCACUGGAAACGGUGGCUAAUACCGGAUAAGCCGAUUGGUGAAAGAUUUAUUGCCCGAAGAGGAGCUCGCGUCUGAUUAGCUAGUUGGUGAGGUAAGAGCUCACCAAGGCAGCGAUCAGUAGCUGGUCUGAGAGGACGAUCAGCCACACUGGGACUGAGACACGGCCCAGACUCCUACGGGAGGCAGCAGUGGGGAAUUUUCCGCAAUGGGCGAAAGCCUGACGGAGCAAGACCGCGUGAGGGAGGAAGGCUCUUGGGUUGUAAACCUCUUUUCUCAGGGAAGAAGCUCUGACGGUACCUGAGGAAUCAGCCUCGGCUAACUCCGUGCCAGCAGCCGCGGUAAUACGGAGGAGGCAAGCGUUAUCCGGAAUUAUUGGGCGUAAAGCGUCCGCAGGUGGCGAUUCAAGUCUGCUGUCAAAGCACGGGGCUUAACUCCGUAAAGGCAGUGGAAACUGAAUAGCUAGAGUGCCGUAGGGGUAGAGGGUAUUCCCGGUGUAGCGGUGAAAUGCGUAGAGAUCGGGAAGAACAUCGGUGGCGAAAGCGCUCUACUGGACGGCAACUGACACUCAGGGACGAAAGCUAGGGGAGCGAAUGGGAUUAGAUACCCC
rnacentral:rRNA from 1 species